rnacentral:rRNA from 1 species
UACGAAGGGGGCUAGCGUUGCUCGGAAUCACUGGGCGUAAAGCGCACGUAGGCUGCUUGUUAAGUCGAGGGUGAAAUCCUGGAGCUCAACUCCAGAACUGCCUUCGAUACUGGCGAGCUCGAGUCCGGGAGAGGUGAGUGGAACUGCGAGUGUAGAGGUGAAAUGCGUAGAUAUUCGGAAGAACACCAGUGGCGAAGGCGGCUCACUGGCCCGGUACUGACGCUGAGGUGCGAAAGCGUGGGGAGCAAACAGG